rnacentral:rRNA from 1 species
GGGGAAUAUUGCGCAAUGGGGGAAACCCUGACGCAGCAACGCCGCGUGGAGGAAGAAGGUCUUCGGAUUGUAAACUCCUGUCUUCUGGGACGAAAAAAAUGACGGUACCAGAGGAGGAAGCCACGGCUAACUACGUGCCAGCAGCCGCGGUAAUACGUAGGUGGCAAGCGUUGUCCGGAAUUAUUGGGCGUAAAGGGCGCGUAGGCGGCAACCUAAGUCAGAUGUGAAACCCCGGGGCUUAACUCCGGACGUGCAUUUGAAACUGGGUAGCUAGAGUGCAGGAGAGGAGAACGGAAUUCCUAGUGUAGCGGUGAAAUGCGUAGAGAUUAGGAAGAACACCAGUGGCGAAGGCGGUUCUCUGGACUGUAACUGACGCUGAGGCACGAAAGCGUGGGUAGCAAACA